CCUACGGGAGGCAGCAGUAAGGAAUAUUGGUCAAUGGGCGCAAGCCUGAACCAGCCAUGCCGCGUGCAGGAAGACGGCCCUAUGGGUUGUAAACUGCUUUUGAACAAGAGAAAACCUCGGUACGUGUACCGAGCUGAUAGUAUUGUUAGAAUAAGCAUCGGCUAACUUCGUGCCAGCAGCCGCGGUAAGACGAAGGAUGCAAGCGUUAUCCGGAUUCAUUGGGUUUAAACGGGUGCGUAGGCGGCCUGAUAAGUCAGUGGUGAAAUCUCUCAGCUUAACUGAGAAACUGCCAUUGAUACUGUCGGGCUUGAGUACAGAUGAUGUGGGCGGAAUAUGACAUGUAGUGGUGAAAUACUUAGAUAUGUCAUAGAACACCGAUUGCGAAGGCAGCUCACAAAACCUGUAACUGACGCUGAGGCACGAAAGUGCGGGGGAUCAAACAGGAUUAGAUACCCUGGUAGUCCGGCACCGUAAACCGAUGAUUACUCGUUGUUGGCAAUAUGACCGUCGNGCGACCGACGAGAAGAGAAGUAAGUAAGUUACGACCGUCGGGUUAGGUUACGGCCGGCCGACCGGUUAGAACGUUAAACGUUAGUUAGUUAGACGGCGUUGAGACGUUCGGCCGACGGACGACGACGAGGGAGGUUAGGAG
rnacentral:rRNA from 1 species